UUAUUUACAAACAAUUAUGAAUCGGACUUGUGACUCAAACCAUAGACAAAAACAAUCAUUGUGAUGCUGGUUGUCCAUAAGUUAAAACACAAUGAAUCUAUCAUGAAAUAAAUUGUCAUUGGUGGUUUGUAAACCACUAACAAAUCGAUAGAAAAUGUUUAUAACAUUGUCGGAUAUGCUCUCAUUAGAUAUUAUAAAUGAAAAUUGUGGAUAGUUGUACUUCACAAAGCCACUACAUCCGGGGUCAUUUCAUCAUUUACUCAAGAAGAUGUUUUUAUCUUCGGAAACCAGACACUUCGAAGAUAAAGACUUGAGAGAGGCGUAUUAUGAUGUAUGGUUCGCUGGUUUAAUGUUGGUUUAAUAUUUGGUUAACUUUGAUUAAGUGAGCUUAAGUUCAAAUAUAUAUAAGCUUAAUGAUACACAGUUCUAACUAACGCUUGUAACAAUAUUUUGUUGAGAUAAAUAAAGUUUGUUAGCUUUUUUGUUCAAUCUUCUCUCUACUUUUCGAUACACGGGUGUCCCAUGUAAAUAACCAAAUAAAUU
rnacentral:sRNA from 1 species